rnacentral:rRNA from 1 species
CCUACGGGAGGCAGCAGUGAGGAAUAUUGGUCAAUGGGCGCGAGCCUGAACCAGCCAAGUCGCGUGAGGGAUGACGGCCCUACGGGUUGUAAACCUCUUUUGCCGGGGAGCAACGGGCGCCACGUGUGGCGCCACUGAGAGUACCCGGAGAAAAAGCAUCGGCUAACUCCGUGCCAGCAGCCGCGGUAAUACGGAGGAUGCGAGCGUUAUCCGGAUUUAUUGGGUUUAAGGGGUGCGUAGGCGGCCUUUUAAGUCAGCGGUGAAAGUCUGUGGCUCAACCAUAGAAUUGCCGUUGAAAUUGGGGGGCUUGAGUAUGUUUGAGGCAGGCGGAAUGCGUGGUGUAGCGGUGAAAUGCUUAGAUAUCACGCAGAACCCCGAUGGCGAAGGCAGCCUGCCAAGCCAUGACUGACGCUGAUGCACGAAAGCGUGGGGAUCGAACAGGAUUAGAUACCCCAGUAGUC